GGCAGUUCUUGGGUGACUCACUCCAGAAUCGGGCUCCCUCCUCUCUAGUUCCUGGUGUGUCACCUGAGAACCUCA
rfam:Myotis davidii contig177034, whole genome shotgun sequence.